GGGCCCGCACAAGCGGUGGAGCAUGUGGUUUAAUUCGAUGAUACGCGAGGAACCUUACCAGGGCUUAAAUGUAGUCUGACAGGGGUGGAAACACCCCCUCCUUCGGGCAGAUUACAAGGUGCUGCAUGGUUGUCGUCAGCUCGUGCCGUGAGGUGUCAGGUUAAGUCCUAUAACGAGCGCAACCCCUGCCGUUAGUUGCCAGCAUGUAAUGAUGGGAACUCUAACGGGACUGCCGGUGCAAACCGCGAGGAAGGUGGGGAUGACGUCAAAUCAUCACGGCCCUUACGUCCUGGGCUACACACGUGCUACAAUGGCCGGUACAGAGGGCAGCCACACCGCAAGGUGGAGCGAAUCCUUAAAACCGGUCUCAGUUCGGAUUGCAGGCUGCAACUCGCCUGCAUGAAGUUGGAAUC
rnacentral:rRNA from 1 species